GACGAACGCUGGCGGCGUGCUUAACACAUGCAAGUCGAACGAAAAGGCCAUGCUUUUGUGGGUUGCUCGAUUGGCGAACGGGUGAGUAACACGUGAGUAACCUGCCCUUGACUUUGGGAUAACUUCAGGAAACUGGGGCUAAUACCGGAUAGGAGCUCCUGCUGCAUGGUGGGGGUUGGAAAGUUCCGGCGGUAGGGGCUGGACUCGCGGCUUAUCCGCUUGUUUGUGGGGUAGUGGCUUACCAAGGCUUUGACGGGUAGCCGGCCUGAGAGGGUGACCGGCCACCUGGGGACUGAGAUACGGCGCAGUCGCCUACGGGAGGCAGCAGGGGGGAAUAUUGCACAAUGGGCGGAAGUCUGAUGAAGCAGCGCUGCGUGCGGGAUGACGGCCUACGGGGUGUAAACCGCUUUCGACUGUGACGAAGAGUGAGUGACGGUAAUGGGUAAAGAAGCACCGGCUAACUACGUG
rnacentral:rRNA from 1 species